GAUGAACGCUGGCGGCGUGCCUAAUACAUGCAAGUCGAGCGAACAGAUAAGGAGCUUGCUCCUUUGAAGUUAGCGGCGGACGGGUGAGUAACACGUGGGUAACCUACCUAUAAGACUGGGAUAACUUCGGGAAACCGGAGCUAAUACCGGAUAACAUUUAGAACCGCAUGGUUCUAAAGUGAAAGAUGGUUUUGCCAUCACUUAUAGAUGGACCCGCGCCGUAUUAGCUAGUUGGUAAGGUAACGGCUUACCAAGGCGACGAUACGUAGCCGACCUGAGAGGGUGAUCGGCCACACCGGAACUGAGACACGGUCCAGACUCCUACGGGAGGCAGCAGUAGGGAAUCUUCCGCAAUGGGCGAAAGCCUGACGGAGCAACGCCGCGUGAGUGAUGAAGGGUUUCGGCUCGUAAAACUCUGUCAUUAGGGAAGAACAAAUGUGUAAGUAACUGUGCACAUCUUGACGGUACCUAAUCAGAAAGCCACGGCUAACUACGUG
rnacentral:rRNA from 1 species